rnacentral:rRNA from 1 species
UACGUAGGGUGCAAGCGUUAAUCGGAAUUACUGGGCGUAAAGCGCGCGCAGGCGGUUUUGUAAGACUGGCGUGAAAUCCCCGGGCUUAACCUGGGAAUGGCGAUGGUGACUGCAAGGCUAGAGUUUGGCAGAGGGGGGUAGAAUUCCACGUGUAGCAGUGAAAUGCGUAGAUAUGUGGAGGAACACCGAUGGCGAAGGCAGCCCCCUGGGUCAAAACUGACGCUCAUGCACGAAAGCGUGGGGAGCAAACAGG